ACAGAGGUCCCAAGCGUUGUUCGGAUUCACUGGGCGUAAAGGGUGUGUAGGCGGUUUGGUAAGUUUGUUGUGAAAUCUCCGAGCUUAACUCGGAAAUUGCAAUGAAAACUGCCUAGCUAGAGGAUUGUAAGGGGGGCUGGAAUUCUCGGUGUAGCAGUGAAAUGCGUAGAUAUCGAGAGGAACACCAGUGGCGAAGGCGAGCCCCUAGGCAAAUCCUGACGCUGAGGCACGAAAGCUGGGGGAGCAAACAGGAUUAGAUACCCUGGUAGUCCCAGCUGUAAACGGUGCGCAUUUGCUGUAAGUGGAAUCGACCCCACUUGUGGCGUAGCUAACGCGUUAAAUGCGCCGCCUGGGAAGUACGGUCGCAAGAUUA
rnacentral:rRNA from 1 species